rnacentral:rRNA from 1 species
UACGAAGGGGGCUAGCGUUGCUCGGAAUCACUGGGCGUAAAGCGCACGUAGGCGGACUCUUAAGUCAGGGGUGAAAUCCUGGAGCUCAACUCCAGAACUGCCUUUGAUACUGGGAGUCUCGAGUUCGGGAGAGGUGAGUGGAACUGCGAGUGUAGAGGUGAAAUUCGUAGAUAUUCGCAAGAACACCAGUGGCGAAGGCGGCUCACUGGCCCGAUACUGACGCUGAGGUGCGAAAGCGUGGGGAGCAAACA